rnacentral:lncRNA from 1 species
GCAGCUUUAAAAUUCUCCUGAAAAUCAGCCUCCUUCCUUUCUUUUCUUUUAUUCUGCUCUUUUCCCAAAACAGUCAUACCUUCCAUAUUAGCCAAGGCACCAAAUCUAGACCCCGAUUUCCCUUUCUCCUUAGUAUCCGUUUUGAUUGGAAUAGUAUUCCGAGAAUUUCACUGAUUUUCCUUUCGACAGCCAUCGAUGGACCGUACGCCACCGAUUCGCCUCCUUCCCCCUUCUCCAUUGAUGUGUUGUUCCCUUGAAUCUUCUCUAAGCCAGAAAUCAGUUUCAUCGAAACACAUAGCUCCUUUGUAUGGCCAUACUCUCCGCAGGUGAAACAAAUGGUCGGUAAAGCUUCAUUUUCAACCUUCUGAUUUCUGCCAUUAACAAAAACUUGAGCAAUCAAAGGUUUGUCCAAAUUAAUAUAAACUGCCAUUCUAGCGAACCUGCCUCUAGUUCUGCUAUCAAUAUUAAAGUCCAGUCGAACUACCUUCCCAAUGGUACCUCCAAUUUCGUCAAUAAUUUUUCUCUUGUAUAAAAAAACAAGGAGACCUGGUAACCUUAUCCAUACCAAAACAAUGCUUGAGUAAGAUUGAGAGGGAUUAAAAUCUUUUGUCCAAGGUUGAACUGUCAAGUAUUGGCCAUAAAUCAUCCAAGGACCCUGGGACAGAGCUUUGGUAUAAUCAUCAAUAGAUUGAAAUUUUACCAGAUAAUAUCCAUUCUCAAUAUCCAUGAGAUGGAAUGGCUUGAUAGGGUUCCAAAGACUGCUAAUUAGGUUAUUAAGGACCCCAUAUCCAAUGUUUCUCCCAAGUAAUUUAAUCACUACCUUAAGUUCCAUUUCUUUGAAGAGGGUUUUUUGAAUCCUCUCAGAAAAAUCAAUGGCAGGAAUACCAUUGACAAUAGAUCUGCGAAUGUCUCCUUCAAAAAACUCUAAGUCAUCAUCAGUGUCGACAUUAGGAGAAUCCAUCUUUACUUUAUCAAUCGCUCCAGGAUUACCCCCCAGAAGUUUGUCAUUCCAAGAUAUCAUUAGCUCGAACCAGAGUCCACCACCAUAUCAGUAUCUUGCUCAUCAAUUCUUUCUUUGAAUCGAACUUUCUUGGUCAUAUGGUCGGCAUAUGACCGAGCCUCAUCUCCAUCACCUAUAACCAGAUGAGAAGAAAUGUUACCAGAGUUCAGAGAGACUUCUUCCAUAGCCUUUACUAGGAAUUUGUUUUAAACGAUCAAACUAUUUAUUUAAUUAUAAUUAUAAUUAUUUCAAUCAUUUCCUUUCAUUUUCAUAGUAUAACCAAACAAAAAUGGCUAAAUUCUGUUUCUUUUUCUUUCAUUUGCAUUAUUAAUUUUAAUAAUCCAAACUUAACCUUCUUUUCUUUUACUUUCAUUUUGUUUCUUUUCCUUCACAAUUAUUAAUUCAAAAGUGUAAAGUCAAUAUUGUAGGUUGAUUACUUAACAUGUUCAGUAUGAUCAUUAACAUUAUGUUUGAUUAAUCGAAGAAUUAAUUACCUUAAGCUCGUAAUUAAAGAUGUUAUUAUCGUAAACUAACAACUAAUAUAUAUACAUAUAUAUUUUUAUCAUUCUCAAUUUAUUUCUCUCGUCCACUGCACAUUUUCCCCAAUGGUUUAAUUUAUUUAUCCUACCCAAUGUGUAAAUUUCUCAUCGAAGUAACUCACCGUUGCAUCUGAUUUGUCAAUGAUGGGGCAAAAGCUAGGCUUGGUUUGCUUUGGCUAUGUUGAAAAUUAGCCUACCAUGCUGCUGUGAUAUUUUUGGUUAAAGUGCAUACAGCACAUGAAGCUACUGUAAUAUCUCCGGAUGAAGUAGCACAAAUGUUACAAGGCUGUUUAGCUGUAAUAUCUUCGGAUGAAAUAAGUGAUUUUUGAUUUUUUUUAUUUUUUUUAGGUGCUGAUAAUGUAAUCAGAUUUUGUGCAAGUUAACUUUUUAUAGUCCCAAUGCUGACUAGUUUAGGCGGCUUGUUUAUGUGUACAAGCAAUGUUUUUAAAGUUACUAGGCUGCUUCUGAUAGUAGGUAGAAAUAAGUGAUGUAGUUGGCUAUAAAUGUAAUGUUUUUCUUAUUGAAAAAUUAAGCAUAACGAAGCAUAUCAGAUUGCUUCCUUGCUGCACGUUUGUGAGCAAGUAAAUUUUUUCUUAAGCUUCCUUGCUGCACGUUUGUGAGCAAGUAAAUUUUUUUUUACUUUCUUGUUUUGUGUCCUAUAUUUCCUCCUUUGCUCAGUUUUCUUUUUUUUUUUGUUGCUGUCAAAAUCCCAACAUGGUAUCGAGAGCUUUUAUGAUCUUUGAGGGUCUUUGGAAUUUUUGCUUCUGCUGUUAGAAAGGCAAUGAGCCGUUAAAGCCUGUCACUUUUGUUUCUGCUUCUACUAUUUUUUAUGAAAGACAAGAAGCUGUUAAAGUCUGUCAUCUUUGAAGGCUGCUUGUAGAGAAGACAGCAACAGCUCAACCCUGUGAUACUCCCAAGCAAGUUUGAAUAAGCUGAAUGUGGAGUUUCAAGGAAAGUAUGUGAGCUCAGCAAAAAUGUGCAAGCUGCAAGCUCAGCGAGUAGUAAAGUUGCUAGCCUGUUGCAUAGUAAGCAAAGUGCGAGCCUGUCAAAGUGAGAGCCUGUCGAAUUGCAAGGCGAAGAGGAGGACGGUCUAAAUGCAAGCUCGAGAGGUGCAAGCCAAAAAUGGCAGACUGAAGGCAAGCAAACUAUACUUGUAAGCUGUUUAUGCAAGAAGAAGUAGGACUGUAAUUAGGACUGUAAUGAACAAGAGAACAAGGCAAGAUGUGUUGUCAACUAAGGCUGUGAAGGAGGAGAAGACUCCAUUUGCUAAGGUUGAAAAUGAAAUGCUUGUGCAGGGUUAGCUUGAAACAAAGCAUUUUGAGACUGCCAAGCUUAAAUUUUUUUGAAUGAUUUGUAUUUGCAGCAUGGAGUCCAAGGAGGAGUGUUGAAAAUUGGCCUACCAUGCUGUUGUGAUAUUUUUGGUUAAAGUGCAUGCAGCACAUGAAGCUGCUGUAAUAUCUUCGGAUGAAGUAGCACAAAUGUUACAAGGCUGUUUAGCUGCAAUAUCUCCGGAUGAAGUACGUUCUUGCAAUUGUGAAUAUUGCAGCACGUAUGUUUGCUGGUUGUUUAGUUACUUUGUUAAGUUACUUAGUUCAAAAUGAACUAAAUUAGUAUUGUUUUGAUAUAUUUUUAGGUGCUAAUAAUGUAAUCAGCUUUUAUGCAAGUUAAUUUUUUAUAGUCCCAAUGCUGACUAGUUUAGGUGGCUUGUUUAUGUGUACAAGCAAUGUUUUUAAAGUUUCUAGGCUGCUUCUAAUAGUAGGUAGAAAUAAGUGAUGUAGUUGGCUAUAAAUGUAAUAUUUUUCUUAUUGAAAAAUUAAGCAUAACGAAGCAUAUCAGAUUGCUUCCUUGCUACACGUUUGUGAUCAAAUAAAUUUUUUCUUACUUCCUUGUUUUGUGUCCUAUAUUUCUUCCUCUGCUCAGUUUUCUUUUUUUGUUGUUGUCAAAAUCCCAACAGGCUAGGCUAUGGUAGGAGGCUUGCUUACGGUGAUGAUUCCCAAAGCAAAAGCUAUGUCGAGGUAGUCUAGAUUGGCUUACGGAUAUUUGGUUUUGGAUCACAUUGGAUACUUGGUUAAAAAGGUAAAGUCUUUUUUUUUUUCUUUUGAAGGUAAAAGGGAAAAGUCUUAUCUUUUGGAUUUUUCGGGUAAAUUAUAAGAAUAGUCACUCAAUUAUGCAUUUGGUUUUAUUUUAGUUACCUAAUUGUUAAUUAUUUUUAUUCAAUCACUCAACUUUUUAAAAUUAAAUAUUUUAGUCACUCUCUCGUUAGUUGCAUAAACUAAUAAUGAAAGUCUAACGUAGGGUUUUUUACUUAUAAGUGUUAGGUGCAAUGAUAAAACAUAUUGCACUCUCAAUGGAAAAACAGGGUUCAAACUUUGAAGAUGAUAUUGUUGGGAGAGAAAACCACGAACCCCGAACAUGAACUGUAAAACAGACAUGAAAAAUAUAAAAAAAUGUAGGAUUUUUUUAUUGGUCUAAUAACAAAUUUAGCCCUCCAAUGACUAUAAAUCCUAUCAAUUUGAUUGUAAAUCUAAAAAAUUCAACAAAUUUAACUCUUAAUGUUUACAAAAAUUAUCAUUAUAGUUAUUUUUACACAUUCUAUCGGGAUAACUAUAUUUAUAUUUUUCAUUCUAUAAUUUGCAUUUGACCUAAUUCUCUCUUCCUUUAAUCUUAAUCUUAAGGUACUUGGAUUAGCUUUCUUUCAAAUUUGGGGUUUCCUAAUAUUUGUGUAUUCAUGGGACGCUUGAUUUCUAAUUGAUAAAAGUUAUACAACUAGUUGUCUUGGGGAGUUUCUUUCUUCCAUUGUAAAUUUUAACUGAGAUCUAAUACUUAUAAAUUUUAGGAAAAGGAAUAGUGAAAUUGGAGUAAAUUUUCAUCUGGCUUCAUCUUAAGUUUAUGAUUUUUUACGUUUUGGAUUCCAAGAUUUUGGAGGAUUGAUUAUUUUAGUAGGGAAACCUAACAAGCGAGUUGAUAGUAAACUCAUCUUUGUUUGAAGGAAAAUUUUAGGGUUAUUUUAUUAUUUUAUUAUUUUAUUUUUUUUAUUUUUAAAUAUAUUUUUAUCAAAAAUAAUUUUUUAAAAUAUAUUCUUUUUAGAAUUUUUAGAAUUAAAACUAAACUUUUUUUAAUUGCAGGAUAAAAGAUUUAUAUAUAUAUAGCAUAAAAAUAUUUUUAAAAAUUACGAAUUUAAAAUUAGUUACAAAUUAAUUACCAAAAUAAUAUAUUUUCUAUAUUAAUAUUUAAUAUUUGUAUAAUUAUUACGGGUCUUUUUAUUUGUGUUGCACAAUUCAUAUGCGGCACUGUAAUUUAUUGUAUAAAACAUGGGAUUUUGAUAAUUAAUUUGUAACCCAUGUUAUUUUUGUAAUUUAUUAUUAUUAUUAUUAUUUAUAUUAAAAAAUCAAGUAUUAAAAUUGUUGAAUUUUUUAGAUAUAGGAUAAAAUUUAUAGAAUAUGAAAGCAUGGGAGGCUAAUUUUAUUAUUAGACCAAUAAAAAACAUAUGUUAAACUUUUGUUAUUGAGUUAACAAUAACUAAUAGGAGAGUGAACGAAAAUAUUAUAUAUUAAAAAAUAUAUAUUUAUAAAAUUAUGGAUGAACUAUUCAAUUGGUUAUCCAACUUUUAAGGCGCUUUCAUUUUGAUUAUACAAAAAAAAAAUAUCCUCACAAUUUUAUCACCUAACUUUUAGAGCAUUUUCAUUUUAGUCAAUCAAGCGUUAAAUCUUUAACAGUGGUUGAUUGUAUAGGUCACAUCAUGUUUUUACGUUUAUUUUGGCCACUCAACUUCUAAGUCGCUUCCGUUUGGUCACAAAAAAAAAUCCUUUUUUAAUUAUUGAUCAAGGUACAAAAUAUUAAUUUGUGAAAAAAGCGAUACAAACUAAAAUAAUGCAUUAAAAAUUUAUCAUAUUAUACUUGCUUACCCCCUUGCGAAAGUUCUAAAUUUCUUUUAGUAUUGAAAUUUUAAAUGUCAAAAUAUCAAAACCAAUUAAAUAAAUUGUUGGAAAUUUUGUAUCCUUUGAUUGUGUCAGACAAUUUGUUACUAUAAUAUUAGUAUUAAUUAAUUUAAUCUCUGUGACAUCUUUAAUGUACAAUCAACUUGAUAUAAUAACAGGUCGGGUUAGGAAUAUUAGAGAAUUAAAAAAGAAGAAGAAAGAUCUAAUAGGAAUUUUAGAGCAAUAGAAUAGAAAAUAGUUAGAGCAAGAAGAAAAUUAGAAAUAUUUUCGAGAUGAGAAAAAUUAAUUCGAGGUAAUCACUUAAUUGUAAGAGAAUGGAAAAUGAUGGGGCAAAAGUACGAAAAUCAAAGGCUUGAGAUAAUUACAUUGAAUUUGAGGGAAAAGGAGGAAGGACUAGAAGUGAAAUUUUACCAAAAUAAAGCAUGAAUCAUGCAUAGUAUUGUAGAGAAAGUUGAAGAGUUAAAUAGUAAUUACUUAAAUUAUAUAACUAUGAAGAAGCUUAAUGAUUAAGGAUAAAAUUAUGUGGAAUAGUGAUUGGUGGACUACAUUGCAAAUCAUUAUUUCGAUUAUUUAAUUAAGAGCUAUUUUAGUAUAAUUAUGUAGAAAAGAUGAGAAGAACCCUUCAUCUUUCAUAUAUGCUUCACGUCAUUCACCAAAACCAUCCAACCCAACUUUGUCUUUUAUAACAAUUAGGUCCUUCCACCAUUUUUAAGCUUUUCUAAGCUCAAUUUCUUUCAUGUUUCCUUAGCAAAAUAAAUAAAGGAACCUAGUAGUCAUCUUAGUUUCAUGAAAAGAGAGGCAAUAUUUGUAUUGGAAGUGAGAAAAAAUAAGGACUAGAUUGUGAUUUCAAGAGAUUAAGGUAAGGGAUGAUAAGUUCUUCAUGAAUUCCUGGUAGUUUCAUUAGUUAAGCACAAAUAUGUUAUUUAAUUAUGAUUUUAACAAUAUUAAAAUGAAAAAAAAAAGAAAAGAAAAGAAAAGGAAUGAGAAGAUCAAAUUGAAGACAAAGGAAAAGGAGCAGCCAAAGAGUAAAAAGAGAAGAAAAUACUCCAUUCAAGUCUUGGUUGUAAGCACUUCAAGGAUUUUAUCUCAUUUCUUUUAGAUUUAAACUAUAAAGUAUGUUAUUUAGUUAAUUAGUUAUAAAUAUGUUGUUAUAAUAGAAAAUGACUAACUUUAAAGAAAAUAGAACAUAUUACAAGGACAUUAAUAAGGACAAAAAGAAAAAUAGAUGUGACCUACGUUAAAGUAUAUAUAUUGUGAAUGUAAAAUGUGCAGUAAAAUCAUAUAUUCUUUGAAAUUUAUGACUUCAAGGACUAAAUUAUAAGUUGUGAAAAGUUGAAUUGAUUUUGUUAAAGCUUAUGUAGACAAGAUAAGAACUACUAGGAUAUUAAUGGCAUGCCAUUAUGGAAAUUUGGCGCACUCUUUGUUCUAUUUAAGAAAUCUGGUGCUUUUCUAUUCUGAUAAGCACUACAGUGUUUUUCUGUUCUGAUAAGCACAUUGGUGUUGUUCUGUUCCGUUAACACACUCGGUGCCCUUUGUAUCUGUUCCAAAUAUCCUAAGUGCUCUAUUUAGUCUACAAUGGGCUAAGAAAGACAAACGAGACAUCUGGUAAGUGUGGUUAACAAUGAAUGGGGUAAGUGGUUUAAAAGCUAUAAGUUGAUAAAAAUUAUUUAUUUGGAUUAAUAUGAAGAAUGAAGUAAACUUAUUCAUGUGCUUGUAAUUAAUAUUACUAUAUUUUAGAAAUAAUAUUUAAAUUCUUGUAGUACUUACUAAGCCGUCACAAAGCUAACGCGUUUCUUGCCAACGUGUAGGUAAAAGCUUGUUUUGACGAACUAGGACAGUGAUUGAUGGCAUCAUAUCUUCUAGCUUGAAAGAGAGUAGGGCUUAAUAUUUUGGUUUUAGAUAUAGCAUGUACAUAGAUAUAGUCGAUUCAAAUGAAAUGUAUUAUUGGACCUAGUUGUAAAUUAUGAAUACUUGUGUUAAUAUUAUGAACUUUGUUAUAAUUAGAAGAUAUCACGAUGAGUUAUUUGAUUA